rnacentral:misc_RNA from 1 species
UCCUGGUUAACCCAGGCAGUCUCAUUAGAGUUCCCACCUUAAAUGUUGGCAACUAAUGAUAAGGGUUGCGCUCGUUGCGGGACUUAACCCAACACCUCACGGCACGAGCUGACGACAGCCAUGCAGCACCUGUGCAACAGUCCCGAAGGAAGAAGCUAUCUCUAGCUCUGUCUAUUGCAUGUCAAGUCUGGGUAAGGUUCUUCGCGUUGCAUCGAAUUAAACCACAUACUCCACUGCUUGUGCGGGUCCCCGUCAAUUCUUUUGAGUUUCACCCUUGCGAGCGUACUCCCCAGGCGGUAUACUUAUCGCGUUAGCUACGGCACAACUAGGGUUGAGUCCAGUUACACCAAGUAUACAUAGUUUACAGUAAGGACUAC